rnacentral:lncRNA from 1 species
UUCUUCACCGACCAAUAAGGCAUCACGGGAAGUCUGUUCCACGGUGGCUUGAGCAGGUUGUAGCACUUCGUCGAUAAAACGGGACUCCUUAACAAUUGAGUCCAACUCAUUAUCCAAGGUGGCAAUUUGACGCCGAAGGGCGUCGAUUUUUUGACGCAGCUCAAUGGCCCUUGUUGGCUUGGAAGUCAAUUCCCUCUGCCGCUCCUCCAUAGCCCUCAACAUACUGGUAACCUCCACGUCGG